UAGGGAAUCUUCGGCAAUGGGGGGAACCCUGACCGAGCAACGCCGCGUGAGUGAAGAAGGUUUUCGGAUCGUAAGGCUCUGUUGUUAAGGAAGAACGAGUGUGAGAAUGGAAAGUUCAUGCUGUGACGGUACUUAACCAGAAAGGGACGGCUAACUACGUGCCAGCAGCCGCGGUAAUACGUAGGUCCCGAGCGUUGUCCGGAUUUAUUGGGCGUAAAGCGAGCGCAGGCGGUUAGAAAAGUCUGAAGUGAAAGGCAGUGGCUCAACCAUUGUAGGCUUUGGAAACUGUUUAACUUGAGUGCAGAAGGGGGGAGUGGAAUUCCAUGUGUAGCGGUGAAAUGCGUAGAUAUAUGGAGGAACACCGGUGGCGAAAGCGGCUCUCUGGUCUGUAACUGACGCUGAGGCUCGAAAGCGUGGGGAGCGAACAGG
rnacentral:rRNA from 1 species